AGUGCCGUGGCUUGGUGGUGUAGACCACCUGCUUUUCAUGCAGGAGGUCCUAAGGUUCAGUCCCCAGUGGCAUAU